rnacentral:rRNA from 1 species
GAUGAACGCUGGCGGCGUGCCUAAUACAUGCAAGUCGAGCGAACAGACGAGGAUCUUGCUCCGCUGACGUUAGCGGCGGACGGGAGAGUAACACGUGGAUAACCUACCUAUAAGACGGGUAUAACUUCGGGAAAGCGGAGCUAAUACCGUAGAAGAUCUUGAACCGCAUGGUGCAAUAGUGAAAGACGGUUGUGCUGUCACGUAUCGAUGGAUCCGCGCCGCAUGAGCUAGUUGUUAAGGUAACGGGCUACCAAGGCAACGAUGCGUGGCCGACCGGAGAGAGUGAUAGCCCACCUGGGAGCGUGACCACGCUCCAUACGACUGAGGGACGCACCAGUCGGGAACGGUCGGCAGAGGGCGAAAGUUUGGCGGAGUGGGGCCGAGUGAGUGGUGAAAGCCCUGGGAUCGUAAAACCCUCUUAUUAGGGAAGAACCAAUUUCGCAGUAACUGUACCCGUCUUGACGGUAACUAAUCAGAAAGCCACGGCUAACUACGUG